CAGGUGGCCGUUUAUGGAUUACUAAAAGCCGCGACUGAGGUUGAAUUAUUCCUAUCUCACAAACGUUGCAACACUCCGGUAUAUGAAAUUUUGUACUCGAAGACAUUAUUACUCGGGGAAUUCUUAGAAAGACAACUGAAAGCGAAGAGCCCGAAAUUGGUGCAGUGGUUCAGAAGGGUGGAACUUCCGCGUAUUGCAGGAUUAUUCAUUCCACUAUUUCAAAAAUGGUCUGUCGAAUACGCCGGAAGUGGUGUUGCAGGGGUUAUUCUUGCUAUAAGUUGCGGUACCGCGGUGAGAAAGUUGGGCUCGACACGUAUAUCUUGUCCUGAAUUUACUGCAUCGGUUGAUGAUGCACUAGUCGAACUUAAGGACCUAUCGCGCGAUCUUGUAUCCAUUGAUAAGUUGUAUCACUUAUCAACCGAAGCAGGUUUUGAACCCGAUUUCUUGUCGUACUUUGGUAAAAAGAUUCUACCGAGUAAAAAUAUAGAAGAUCUUGAAUUUUGGAUUGGGCUUGUUCAAGAAAAACUUUGUGUAGCAUUUCAUAGAGAA